GAUCAGACCUACCCGUAAACAAAAACAGGAUAUGGUUCGGAGUUAGUAGAAUGGCUGGAACAUUGAAACAACUGUCUACCAGCAUUUUCCCUGUUAGUGGAGGUUCUGAUCAGGCUUUGAGGGUUGGAGACGGUGAUUUGACCCAGGGGCUGACGACAUCCGUGGACCGUGCCUUGCAAACGACGGCUGGCAGGCUGGAGUGGCUGACAUUGAUGUUCAGGGAAAUGAACGGGGAGGGGUGUCAACAUAACUGCUCCGGGCACGGGAGCUGUGACAACGGGCAGUGUAUCUGUAUGGUGCAGUAUGCAGGAGAUUUUUGUCAGGACCAAAACAGGGGAUAUUUUGUCGCCUUUGGAAGCAUCUUCGCUACCCUGAGUGCCGUGGCCAUAAUACAGCUGGUGCUUUGUAUCCACAAUGAGUACGCCAAACAGAAACACAAGUCCAUCAGGAAGGUCCUUCGUAUCAACGCCCAGAAACUUCUCUAUGCGCUCACAUUUUUUGCAACAGCCAUUAAAGGCAUUUAUUUCUUCACAAAGUGGAGUAUAUCAGACAUAGCCUCUUCCAACCUCUCUAGUGCAUUCUAUCCCGUCAUGCUCUCGGGAUUUUCAUUCAUUAUUUGCUUUUGGGCAGAGGCCUUUCACCUCGGCGACAUUAAGUUUGAUAAGCCUCGUUUUCUGGGUAAAUCCAUCAUCGGGUUCCUCGUCUUCAACUUCUUGAUGUACUCUCUUCUGUUCAUCCAACUUGUCGCUACUGACGUCAUUAUACAUACGAAUAUUUGUAAUUGGUGUGUGUGUCCUUUUAGAGAUCGGUUGUCUCAGAGUGUUGGCCUCAAGUUUUGGCGUUUGUUACAAACGAGGGCGACUUUCAACAAUAACAAUAGCUGGGCGAGAGGUCAGUAGUGUGACAGGGACGCUACCCAACUCUGCUCUGUCACUUCCGGCAUGCGCGUCUCCGCCAGAUGUAAAUGUUGGGAGUCUGGGGGACAACGGAAGUGACGUCAGCAAUUCCUGUGUUGUGACUUCACAUGACUAUUCAAAUUCCCUGUCUGUGAAGGCUGUUAUUGAACAAAGUUGAACAUCGCCUUCAUGAACAUUCCGUGACGGAUUUAUUUUUAUACAUAUUGAUAUUUUCCAUAGUGUUAUUGUAUUAGUAAGGAGAACUUUCUCUAUCUAUAGCUUCAAGAACCUGUGGUUUAGUUUUAUAUGUGGACCCACACCCCAUUUAAAAAUGACCCGAAUCCGCUCCUGACAAUACUUGGUGUUGCUGGAAUGCUUUUAAAACAACUAUGGAUGAUUAUGCAUAAUACGAUAAUAUUAUAUGUACAUUUGUAAUUAUUUUAUCAAAGAGCUUUUUUCAUCAGUUUGUUUUAGAACUUAAAUGCUUGUGUUUUUAAAAAGUGUCGAAAUAUGUCCUUGUAAUUACCGGGGUAUUAUAAUACCUUUUCUGAUCGAUUUGGUAAUUACAGCUUUCUGUCGCAACUAAUGCGAAGUAAACUGUACUAUGUACAUGUACAAAUGAUGGUAUGAAUUACAGUGUUGCAUUAAAGUUUGUCUUGC
rnacentral:misc_RNA from 1 species